UACGUAGGGCGCAAGCGUUGUCCGGAAUUAUUGGGCGUAAAGAGCUCGUAGGCGGUUUGUCGCGUCUGCUGUGAAAACCUAAGGCUCAACCUUGGGCUUGCAGUGGGUACGGGCAGACUAGAGUGUGGUAGGGGAGACUGGAAUUCCUGGUGUAGCGGUGAAAUGCGCAGAUAUCAGGAGGAACACCGAUGGCGAAGGCAGGUCUCUGGGCCAC
rnacentral:rRNA from 1 species